ACAUCUGAUUCUUUCCCAUAAGCAAUCUGAGAGUGGGGUCUUUCAAGGAAGGUGAAGAGGAAGGCUUCAUGAGGGUAUGGGAUUCCAAAACAGGAAAGGAAGAUGGGCCAGUAAAAUGAAAGAGCUAGCUUGUGAGCUGAAUACAAGGAUUGACUGUUUCACGAUUUUGCGUAGAGUAUUACAGUCAUGUGGAAGGCAGAGCAGACUAGAACAAGGAGCAUGGAGCUUGGGUUCUUUAGAGUCAAAAGAAUUCCUGAUCCUGUUGCUUUUCAGCUGACUGGACUAAAAUGGCAUAAAUAUUACUUAUCUUUUGGGCCUGGUUCUGGUGAUACUCACAAUACCUAUUACUGUUUUCUUCCCUGCCUUCUGUAGUUAUCAUUGGCCUGAAACCUUUGCUCAAAGGCAGCAAGGUCAGCCCUCUCAGCAUACCAGCCGGGCCUGUCAGGGUCUGUCAGCUACAGUAGUUUCCCGGUUGCUUCAGGCACCAUCUCAGCACUCACUUGAGGCUUUCUCUGUGAAUCCUGAAGUGUAGCAUCUGUCUUCCCUGUCUGCAGGUUCCAUAUCUUGGCUCGCAGUGCAGCUGUCCUGCAAUGAGCUUCCACCUAGCCUGCCACAAGGAAGAUGCUGCCCUUGCUGCUUGUCAUUUUAUACUGUCCAUCUGGUCCAACUCCUCAGACCACACACAGAACCCAAUAUCAACCCAUAAAGAAUCAUUCGGGAGCUCUGGAGAAGGAAAGGGCUGGGACGACACCACAGCAUGGCUUGAUGAGCAGUGUGUAGGUCCAUGCCCAGGAUCCAAACCUGCAAACCCUGGACUGCAGAAGUAGAGCGUGCAAACUUAACCUCUAUGCCACCAGGCCAGCCUCUCAUCUGACUUUCAUUUUUUGACUUGUCUGCCUUUAAGCUGUUUAAGUUUCUGAGCUCCAUUUUACUCUUGUGAUUUCUAGAAUAAUUUUUUUUUAGUCAAGAAGGCAGUAUGAUUAAUAUAAGAGCUAUCAAUUUCAUGACCAGAAAUCUAUGAAAUGACCAGCUCAUUAGUUUAAGGACCUAUGGUGUGUGUCUUUUUUCUUUCUUUUUUAACUAACUCAAAAACUUUCAGCAAAAUAAAAGUAAACAGUACUCAAAAAUUCAUGUUU
rnacentral:lncRNA from 1 species